UACGAAGGGGGCUAGCGUUGCUCGGAAUGGCUGGGCGUAAAGGGCGCGUAGGCGGUUCGUACAGUCAGACGUGAAAUUCCCGGGCUCAACCUGGGGGCUGCGUUUGAUACGUGCGGGCUUGAGUUCGGAAGAGGGUCGUGGAAUUCCCCGUGUAGAGGUGAAAUUCGUAGAUAUUGGGAAGAACACCGGUGGCGAAGGCGGCGACCUGGUCCGAUACUGACGCUGAGGCGCGAAAGCGUGGGGAGCAAACAGG
rnacentral:rRNA from 1 species